UCUUUUUUUUUUUUUUAAAGAUUUAUUUAUUAUAUAUAAGUACACUGUAGUUGUCUUCAGAUGCACCAGAAGAGGGCAUCAGAUCUCAUUACAGAUGGUUGUGAGCCACCAUGUGGUUGCUGGGAUUUGAACUCAGGACCUUUGGAAGAGCAAUCAGCACUCCUAGCCUUUGAGCCAUCUCUCCAGCCCCCCCCCCCUUUUUCAUAUUCCACUCCCCAUACCCCACACACUACUCUGCUUGAGAGGGACUGGCUGGUAUUGGUGAAUACAGGCAGUGCUGGGUCUGCCUGGGCAGGGGACUUUGGGUGACAGUGCAUGCAGGGCAGGUAGCCUGCAAACCCGAAUGCUUCUCUGACCUCCAGGAUCAAGCACGAUCUCCCUUUGCCUCUCCUCCUCUGUCCACAUGGUACACUCUUUUUUUUUUUUUUUUUUUUUCCUUUUCUUUUUUUCAGAGCUGGGGACCGAACCCAGGGCCUUGUGCUUGCUAGGCAAGUGCUCUACCACUGAGCUAAAUCUCCAACCCCCACAUGGUACACUCUUGCCCUGGUAUACUGGGCAGAGUGUGGAUGAGAGAUUUACCCCAGGGCCUGGUGCAGCAGAUAUGGCUGUGAUUGUGAUGGGGCACUUCCAUAGUCUCUAUUAUAGAGAAACUCUUAUAUUCCACAUUCCGAAAAGGGAUCUGUUCACAAAGGUUAUCAACAACUUAGUGAGCUUGCUCUCCAUAGCUGGUUAGUUCUGAGUCAACCCUCUCCCAGCCCAGAUGCCCCUGGGCACCAGCAGGGAAUACUUAGACACAGUGUCUCCAGAAAUGCCUGAGCCUAAACAGAAAGAAGGAAGAAUCUACAGGGUGACAAUGAAGACAACACAGAGGUCGUGAGGGUAGGCUCAGAAAUGUGGCUGACCCCUAACCACAGAGCUCUGCCAUGAUUGUUUUUGUCUCUUCUUUCUGCCCCUGUCACCUGCCAGCUGGAGAUGAGAUAGAAGACCGAUCGAUCCGUUAGGAUGUUAACCUACUGUCUUCUCAGGUUGCUGGCUCUUUGGAUGACGUUUGAAGAUCACCCACGCUCACUGGCUUCUGUAAUGAUGGUGGCUGGAUGUGAUGGUUUGCAUGUGCUCGGCCAGAGAGUGGCACUGUUAGAAGGUGUGGCCUUGUUGGAGAAAGUAUGUCACUGUGAGACCCUCCUCCUAGCUGCCUGAGGAUGCUCAGUCUGUUCCUGGCUUCCUUCGGAGGAGGAUGUAGAACUCAGUUUCUCCUACACCAUGACUGCCUGGAUACUGCGAUGCUGUCAUGCUCCUGCCUUGAUGAUAAUGGACUGAACCUCUGAACCUGUAAGCCAGCCCCAAUUAAAUGUUGUGUGUUAUAAAACUUGCGUUGGUCACAGUGUCUGUUCACAGCAAUAAAACCCUAACUAAGAGACAGGAUGAUUGGCUGGGCAUCGAGGGGCACUCAGGGACCUUCCCUAAGGCCCAGUGGGAGGUCCUAAAGGUGGGAAGUUCCAAGUCAGGAUUCUCUGUCAAUAGCAAGUGCCUGUGAUCCCAGCAUGUGGGAGGUAGAGGCUGGAGGAUCAGGAGUUCAGGGUUACCCCCUGGUUGGUUAUAUAGGAAGUUCAAGGCCAGCUUGAGCUACCUCAAACUUUACUUCAAAAAUAGAGUGAAAUAAAACCAAAGGAAUGAUAUGAUUUGAGAAGUCCUUUGAGUUAUGUGAUACUAAAUUGGAAGGGUUCUGAGCCUCAGAUGCCUCAGUUUUCUCUCCUUGAGAUGGGGUGGGUGAUACCAUUAACCACAGUGUCUAAGGCAUGUUUAUUCACCCCGUCCACUUUUUCUUCUUCCUCCCUCAUUUUAAUUUUGUCUGGCUUGUCUCACUUAACACAGUGACCUCCAGUUCCAUCCAUUUUCCUGUAGAUGCCAUGUUGCGGUAAAAAUAUAAAGAACAGUGGAACCAGUUCUCUCGCGUACCCUGUCGGUCUCACUCUCACUAGUUCUGGCUACAACAGGCCAUUAGAACUAGUGCUAAUUCAUCUCAGAUUAGUAUCUUUCCCAGCAGCUCUCUGCUACCCUUGAACUCUCUGGUUCUAGCCACCUGGUAAAAUCAAGACUCAACAAACUAUAACCCAACAAUCAGAUUUAUAUGUUAAAUUCUCAAUUCACAAUACACCCACACAAUGAACUUAUAACCAAUUGAUAAGGAUAUAAACCGCCCACCUAGAUAAGAUAUAGUUUGCCCAUCUAGACAACACAAAAUCCUGUAUACAUCCAUCCCUUAAGAAUAGUCAUAACAACCUGUAAUAAAUGCAGAGAGGAAUCUCUCAGCUGCCUCCCUUCGCUCCAACCUCCUCUGCCUCUCUAAAACUUUUCUCGCCCCCAUCCUUCCUUCUCGUCCAAUGACAGGCCUCGUUCUAUCCUGUACCUGCCUUCACCUGCAUAAUGAUAUCAACCUACACUUCACCCUUUCUGUUUAAUUAAAAAAAUCCUCUUCUCUCAAAUAUAAGCUGAGCACAACUAUUAUCAUUUUGUAAUUUAAAAAUAUAAAAUAUGCCUAAUACCCAGUCCAAUAUUUUAUCAGUUAAACAGAACAUUUAGUUAUCUAUUCCAGCUUAAGAAAGGCUUAAAAUCCAUGUUAUAUCCUGGCUAGCUUGUAUACUCUCUGAUAACUAUCCAAUUUAAUAUGUAUUCUCAGAGUUAAACGGCCUGGGUAGCUAUGAGACUAUAAUCAAUCAGCCUUCUUAAUGACAUCAACCUACAAUGCCAUGAUUUUAUUCUUCUAAAAAUAUUAUUUAUUGUAAUAUUUAUGGGUGUUUUGCCUGCAUAUAUGUCUGUGUACCAUGUGUGUGACUGGUGCCAAUGAGGCCAGAAGAGGGCAUCGGAUCUCCUGGAACUGGAAUUACAGGUAGUUGUUACCAUCUGGGUGCUGGGAAUGGGACUCAGGUCCUCUGGAAGGGCAGCCGGUGCUCUUAACUGCUGACCCAUAUCUUUGGCCCUGAUUUACUUUUUUACAGAUGCAUGAACACGAUAGAUGUGUCUAUUGUUACCAGGGCCUCAGCAUUGUAAUAGUAUCCUCAUGCCCUUGGUAAUAGUAUCCUCAUGCCCUUGUUUAUCAGGAGUCUUGCCCUCCCCACUCUCAGCUGACUCUACUUACAGGCCUCAAACUAACAGAGCUCCCCUCCUCAACCAGCUGGGAAUCAGAGGGCAGGCUGAUUGUAAGCAAUGGCUGUGGACUUCCCGUCAUCCAUCACACGGUAUAGGAUGCCCUUUUGUGUCUAUGAUGUGUAAGAAGGGACAUUUACUCUGCCACAGGGGCCUGCUAUCACCUCACCAUGCUGCUGUCUGCCUGUCUACAGCAUUAAUUUCUUGUACUAAAUCUUAUAAAAAAAAGUUUGGGGUUCAAAGUGUCUCCCUUGAACCUCAAACCCAAAACUUGUAUAUAUUUACCAUGUUUUCGAAAUCUGUGUCAUGUUGACAGUGUGGCUAUAAACAUGGAUGUGUAGGUCUUCCUGGAAUGCUGACUUAGAAUCCUUUUGGAUAUUCAGAAGCGGUGUAGCUGGAUCAUCUUUAUCUCUGUUCUUUGUGUGUACCCGGAGUCUGCCUGAAGAUCAACAUUGAGAUGUGAAGAGGACUUUAUGGAAAAGCGAAGCAGAAUAGGGAAUUGAGGAAUCCAGGCUAAGGCACAAAGUUCCAGAGGCCGUAUGGAGUCACGAAUCAUUUCUCUUCUCACGUUUGUGAGGGUUUAGAGGUCUGGGAUGAGGGAGAGCUGUCCUCUUGGCUCUUUCCUGCAUCCUCUGCAACCUGAGAGCAAAAGAGGAAGCUCUGGUGCCCUCUUUAUCAGGGCACUGAAGUCUAACUACUUCCUCUGUUAGACUUUACCUCACAGAUGUCUUAGAGGGAAGGAAGUGUUGUUUUGGCUCGGGGCUUCAUUGGUUUUGGUAAGUGGUCAGCCUGCUCUAUGGGCCUGCGAUAGGGCCUGGCAUCACAGUGGUGGGAAUGUGUGGAGAAGAAGCAGAGAAGUGACAGGAAGGGGCUAGGAAUUCCCGAGGAAUGUGCCUAGAGUGUACUUCUCUUUACUAUGCCUCCCUUUCGACAGUUUCACUACCUCAUAGUAACAGCAGGAUGCCUGGUGACUAGAGGGUCAUCAAAGAAACCAGUGUAGCCAGAAUAAGGGAGGGUGAGGAGAGGUGUCGGGGACAGUGUGUUGGCUACCAUGGUUCAGUUUAGCUCUUGGAAAUGUUGCCCAUAUAUUUAUUGAUAAGGCUUUGUACCAGGAAAUGUGCGGGUGUGUUGAAGCCAGGCCCUCUCCUAUUUUCUCCUUCCUUUCUUCCUCUCCUCCCUUCCCCUCCCUUCUUCUCCUCUCCCCUCCCUCCCUCCCUUCCCCCCUCCUUCCUUCCCUCCCUCCCUCUUUCCCUCCCUCCCUUCUUUCUUUUUUCUUUCUUUCUCUCCUUCUUUCUUUCUUUCUUCCUUCCUUUCUUUCUUUCCUUCUUUCUUUCUUAAUUUCUUUCUGAUUUGGUUCUGUAUAGUCCAGACUGGCCUUGACCUAAUCCUCCUGCCUCAGCUGUGAUCAUAAGCCUACAGCUGCACCCCUGCCUUAUAGGAAGCCAAGACUUGUGCACACAGCUUUGCACUGGGAUCAGUUGGCACUCUGGAGAAUCCUCAGGGCUGUACCUGAGGCUAGUUUGUGAUGAGAACCAAAUGUUCUGACAGCCUCUGGGAAUGGCAACAGCCUGAUUUAUCAGAAAUGAUUGCUAACUUUGCCCCCCUCUGGGGUGGCUGAAGCCCAGUACACUUGCAUCCCUUUCUUUUCUGUCCCCACUGGCCACUGAAUUUGGUUCAUUUGAUGUUUUUGUUUUUGUUUUUUUCUGCAGGAAUGUGGGCAGAACUCCAGCCAGCCUUUGGGAUGGCUGUGGAUAAUGUAUUCUUUUCAAGUACAGACAUUUUUAUUAUUAUUCAGAUUAAAAAAAAAUGUCAGUCUAUUGAAUCUGGAGGUAGGAAGCCAUGGCUGUGGGGUCAGGUUGUUUCUCCUUUCCCUCCCUGUUUUCUCCCCCACAGUUUGUGGGCAGGUGAGGCUGCUGUGUGUUUUUGACUCUCUGUCUAACCUCAGUAGUAUUGACACUCAUGGCUGAUCUUUCCUGUGGGUCUGUGCACACUUUUGGGGACCUGUCUUAACCUUCAUUUAACCUCCACCCCCUCCCCCGGCAGGUUCUCAUGGAGCCCACACUGAUUUUGAACUUGCUAUGUAGUUGAGGAUGGUCUUGAACUCCUGAUCUUCCUGUCUUCACCUCCUCAGUGUUUCAGUGCUGGUAUUACUGCUUGCACCACACCACCGACUCUGGGCUUCAGGAGUACUAGGCAAGUACUCUAUCAACUCCGUGUUGCCAGCCCUUUCCCGCCAUGCUGAGGUCGUAGGUGUGUGUGUGUGAUGCCACUCUUGGUUUUUGUGGUGCUAGGGAUCAAACGCUGGGUACCUUCCUAUGCUAGACAUCAUAGGAUUUCUGUUUCCAGACAGGGUCUCCAUAUAUAUCCUAGGCUGCUCUUGACUUGUGACAAUUCCUGCUUCAGCCUCCUGGCUGCUGGGAUCCUGGGAGGACCACACAUAGCCGGUAAGAUGGUCCCUGUGAGCUUUGCGGUAGGCAGUAAGGAGCUCCCUCUUUCCAAGCUGUUCCCACACAGUGACUCCAGGCAUUGUCUAGUGUCCCCUGUUCCUCUUUGACACACUGCUCUGUUCCUUUCUGCAUGCUUCAUGAACCCAGUCUCCCUUAGUAAUCAGUGGCUGAACUCACAUCUGAGGCGUGGGGGUCUGGCUCUCUCACCCCGUACCGAUCUGCACUGUGCCCUCAGCCCACCCCGGCUUCUGUUAAUCCCAAAGAUGGAGGAGAAAGGCCACUGACCCCAGUCAUGACCAAAUUAAUUGAAGCAAGCUUUCUAAUUCCUGUCUACGACUGCCUCCCCGUAAGGGGGAGUUCGAGGGGUCAGCACGGAAUAAGGAAGACAAGGUUUUUACUGCUCAGGGGUAUCUGAUUUCCAAAUGGAGGAUUUGGAGGGCAGAAUAGGCAGGGUUACAGGAGCUGAACACAAGCAUAACAAGCUGUCCCUGCUGAAACAAAGACGUGCUUGCAGGUGGGCAGAACGAGGUCGGCAUCGGUGGUCACGUGACCUUUUGAAACAAAAGUAGCAUGGCGAGAUGGCUAUAAUCAACUUUUUAAAAGAAAGACGCGACUGCCAUGCCUGGAACAGCAAGCAGUACAGAGCUGUUUGCAGUUAAGGAUAAGGCAUAGCCCAAUCCUGGAGAAACGGGCUUAAUCAUAACCAGGAACGAGCCCAGUUUGUCUUUACUGGAAGACAACUUUUUUUUUUUUUUUUUUUUUGGUCCUUUUUUUCGGAGCUGGGGACCGAACCCAGGGCCUUGCGCUUCCUAGGUAAGGGCUCUACCACUGAGCUAAAUCCCCAGCCUGGAAGACAACUUUUAAGCCUAAGAUGAAGGCAGAACAAAGGUGACCCUGCAGCGGAAGUGACCAACACCGAGUUGAGGGCUCUCCUCGUGAAGGUCUCAGAGUGCCUGGGUAUCCACUGGGAGUUUGGGAGCUGGGGAGUAGCUAGGCACCCUCCUGCUUCUCAUGGCCCACUCAUGGCAUUGCUUUGGACUUAGUUAAGUCCAAGUGACAGUGGCCUGUGGCCCACGUCCAGCACUUGGGUGACACCCCUGUAUGCUUGAAUCUCACCUGUCACCUCCUUCAAACCCUGUGAACCUCGAGUCUAGAAGUUCCAGGGCCCGACUGGGGUUUCCUCUGGAUUUAUUUCUUAGGCUGAAUCUUGCCGUGUAGCCCUGUUGCUCUGGCACUCCUCUAGCCCAGGCUAGUCUCUUACUUGAGGCAAUCCUCCUGCCUCAGGCUUUCCAGUGCUGGGAUUACAGGUUUGCAGCACCACCCCUGGCUUAGCCGCGUUCCUUCUUUUUGUUUCUCAGCUGAGACUCAGCCUCAGGGUCUUGUGUAUGGUAGACGAGCGCCCUGCAUCAGAACCACAUCCCCAGCCAGUUCUGCUUUAGCCACCACUUGCCUCUCUACCCAGGGGUCUGAGGGAGCCGAGACCAGUGACCAGUCACAGUCAAAUUCAAAGCCCUGGGUUUGGGGAUUUAGCUCAGUGGUAGAGCGCUUGCCUAGGAAGCGCAAGGCCCUGGGUUCAGUCCCCAGCUUGAAAAAAAGAACCAAAAAAAAAAAAAAAAAAAAAUUCAAAGCCGUUAGCGUAUAAAAGAAGAAAAUUAAUGUCUUACCUAUCUUGGCUUCUCUGGUGGACUCUUGUAAAUCGGAGUAAACAAAAGCUACAAGAGUCGGAGAAAACAGGACAAAUUUCUAAUGUGUGUGUGUGUGUUGUGCUGGGGAUGGAGCUCAAGUGGAUAGAAUGAUGGCCUCCCACAAAUGACUCCCUGGCUUCAUUCCUCACACUGCACAGACAGGUGAUCAGCAUAGGGAUAGGACUGGGGUGGUGUGUGUGUGUGUGUGUGUGUGUGUGUGUGUGUGUAAGAGAAGUUCAAGGACAUUUGCAAUGACAAAAUAUGGUGUGAGGCCAGCUUGGGUUACACGAGACCUAGUCUCAAAACCAACUAGCUAGCUGGGUCGGUGGUGGCACACACUUUUAUUCCCAGUGCUUGGGAGGCAGAGGCAGGAGGAUCUCUGAGUCUGAGGGCAGUCUGGUCUACAGAGCUGGUUUUAGGACAGUCAGGGCUACACAGAGAAACCCCGUCUUGAAAACCAAAAUAAAACAAACAAACAACAAUAAAAGAAGUAAUCUGUGCUCUUUAAGGCCAGCUGUUUUAACCCCUGUCUUCUUCUGCCUUCCGUUUGAGCCAUCGGGGUCUCCUGGAGGUGCACACAAGCCCCUCUGUUCACUGUGCUCCCUCUGAAGGUUCCCAGUGUAAGGCCUCUCACUUCGGAGGGGGUCAGAGUUGGUGUGAAAGGAGGCAGAAUGGCAGGACAGACAGGGGCCUCAUGUGAGUGUCUGCACCUGACUUUGAAUCCAUAAUAGGCCACUGUGUGGCCUCUAUCAAGGGCUUUACCUCUGAUCCUGAUCCUGAGCCUGUUCUAUAAAACAGGAUGUGCCUCCCCGAGAUGUUUAAAAUAAAAGUCCUCUUUGAAAAAGUUGCACAUAUGCACGUAUCAUAGAAUUCACUCAAAUUACACAACUCAACUUAUUUAGACUGUUUAGAUGUGCUAUACUAUUUAUUUAAAAUCUUGCCAUGACUAACCCUGGGCUAGAAAGUGCCCUAUUGCUCAGGAUGGCCUUGAAUUUGGGGUAAUUCCCCUGAUUUUGCCUACUGAGUGCUAGGGUUACUGGCGUGUAGGGCCACACUCAUUCAAAAUCCCCACUGUGUGCUGCAUGUGUACUCACCCUUGCUGGCCGCAGUCCAAGGACACGGAGUGGUGUUGGUUCCCCCCUUCCCACCAUGUGGUGGAGAUCUAACUCAGGUUGUCAGGCUGGGGGCAAGUGCCUUUGCUCCACGAGCCAUCUUGCUGGCCCAGCAUGUACACUGUGGUCAGCACUGGCCAAUGAAGCUCUUCCCGUGGACAGGGUCUCGACUCCUUAUUUGGUGACGUCACUAGCGCUCUCUGAAAUGCUCUUUUUCCAGGUGGCGUUAUCAACAGUUGAGCCUCACGCUGUUUUCUGUGUUGUUUGUUGAGGAAAUGCCCCGAGCCUUCUGCUUUGAGGAUAUUGGAAGGAACUCCACUGUCAGAUACCCCUUUUAUUAAAAUCCUUAAAGUAAAUGCCACCGGCGCAACGUCUGUUUACCAUAGGCGGGGCCUGAAGAGCCAGGCAGCUUCCACAGUUGCUCUGGAGCUGAAGCGUGAAGAGACGACGGGAUCCCGGAAGUUGUCUUCCGACUCCACGUGCGCGCUGUGCCAUGUGCGCCAAUAAAGAAACAGAAGGACCUCAGGAUGUUUGCUUGAUUUUUCAAGACAGGGUUUCUCUGUGUAGUCCUAGGGCUGUCCUCGAACUCAGAGACCUGCCUGCCUGUCUCCCAAGUGCUGGAAUGAAAAGCAUGUACCACCAUCCCUUGGCUUUUUUUUUUCCUCUAAGAGUAGUGAGUGACUGAGAUACUCAACAGCUAGCUGUUAGUGGGGGCACUUGUGGGAAUGUGUGAAAACGAAAAGUAGGGCUUGUGUUGUUUUUAUUUGAAACUGGGUCUUUCUCUGCAGCCACGGCUAGCCUAGAGCUUAGAUGUGCAAACUUGUUCCAUUAGAGGAAUGCCCCCACCUUUGCUGGCCUUGAAUUCACAGAGAUCGCCUGCCUCUGCUGGGCUUAAAGGUGUGCAGUGCUGUUGGUUACACCCAGGACCUUGUAUAUGUUAGACUACCCAAUUGUACCGUGAAGCCACUUCCCCGGAUGGUUUUGGAAAAGCUAAGUGCCUUCCUGGGAAUAUGAUUCUUAGAAUAGGAUGCAAGCAGAACCAGUAGUCAGGCACCAAGACCUUGAAAUUCUCACAUUCCUGCUGCAUCGGUUUCUCAGCCAUUCUGAAUGCAACCAGCAGGGGGCGCCAGGGCCUCACGUUCCUCUGGGUGUCGGGUACCUAAGAAGCUGCCGGUGUUGUUUCUUGGCAGGAGAUGGGAGAUGACCUCUAUGUGUCUUUUCUGCCUGUUCAGACGGAGUUCUUUUCUGCAGAGGAAGAAAAGCAAGAGAAGAUGAGAUGACUCACUGGGUAAAGGGAUCUGCCACCAAACCCAGUCCCUGGGAUUCACAGCUGCAGACCAGAAGUAAACUCUCAGCUCCAUCUCCAGCGCCCACGCCUGCCUGCUGUCACGCUCCCCUCCUCGAUGACCGUGGACUCACUGAAACUGUAAACAAGCUCCCAAUUCAAUGCUUUUAUUUUUAAAAAACUUUUCACUGAUUCGUCCUGAGUUUCACACCAUGUACAUCUCCCUGUCCCCUCCUAUCUGCCUUCUGCCCUUGCAACCCCCCCAAAUAAAGCACCCCCCCCAUGUAUUGUUAAUUGAAAAAAAAAAAAUCAAUGCCGAGCAUGGUGGUAAGCACCUUUAGUCCCAGCACUUAAGAGCAGAGGCAGGCGGGGUUGGGGAUUUAGCUCAGUGGUAGAGCGCUUGCCUAGGAAGCGCAAGGCCCUGGGUUCGGUCCCCAGCUCCGAAAAAAAGAACCAAAAAAAAAAAAAAAAAAAAAAAAAAAAGCAAAGGCAGGCAGAACUCAAUGAGUUCAAGGCCAGCCUGAUCUACAAAGUAAGUUCUAGGCUAGCCAGGGACAUGUACUGAGACCCAGUUUCCAAAAACAAAACAAAACAAAAAUCCCCCCAAAAAACAAAAACAAAGUAACUCAGGAAGAUUGUUGAAUUAUACCUGUUCAUUCAUGUUCUCUCUCUCUCUCUCUCUCUCUCUCUCUCUCUCUCUCUCUCUCUCUGUGCCUAUGUGUGACUCUGUCUCUCUUAUGUAGCACAGGGUGACUUUGAACUCUUGAUCUCAUAGUUCCGACUCCCAAAUACUGACAUUACAGGCAUGUGCCGCUACACUUGACCUGUGGAUUUACUGUGCACAUAAAGGAUAGCUUGAAGGGGUGUGGUGGGACGCAUGUGACCCCUCAGUCUUGAGAUAUAGCAAGACCCUGGCUUAAACACAAACGUGCUGGGGAGGAUGUAUUUCAGUGACAGGUACUUGGGUGGCAUGACAGUUCUUGACCAAUAUGUCCGAGGUCCUAAGUGCACUCCUCCUAGCUGCAAAAAACUUCAAAAAAAAAAACCCCCAAACCAGACCACCACCACCAACACCACCAAUGACAACAAUAAAACAAAAGCAAAAUCCCAAAAAACCCUCAACAAAACACAACAACAACAACCAGCCCCAAGCAAACAUCAGAAUAGUGUGGAAAGAGGCAGAAAGUGAACUGAUUACCUCAUGGGACUGGAGGGAAAGCCUGUUCAAUGACUUAGUCAUGUUUUCUUUCAGAUAACAACGUUGUUUUUAUUAUGAGAGACAGGAUCUCACUGUGUUGCCAAGAUUGGCCUUGAACUCACAGGAAUCCUCCUUCCCUGUGUCAGGAGAUUACAGGUGCGAGCCACCAUGCCCAGCCUUUACUGUAAUUUUUACUGUAAGAGACAUGCUCUUUUUCUGUUGCUCAGGCUGACCCCAAACUCCUGGAGUUGAGCAACUUCCCCAGUGAGCCUUGGGCAUCUUCGACUUCAGGCAUACACUACCCUGCCUGGUCCACUCCAGUAAUUCUGCUCAAGUCCUGCCAUGUUUCACUGGUGAAAUAAAAUAGAUAACCAACCCCACCCUGCUCUCACGGAGCCGGAGGCUCCCACUGUCCUGCUUCGGCUGGUACCCUUCUCAUUUGGGUGAUGGAGUUCCAGGAUCCCGGGAGAUCCUGCCUCCUGGGAAAACAGGAACAGCUUGUCUCUAAGGUCGAGCAUGCUCCUUUGCACUCCCCAUUUAUUUCAGGUAAGAAUCAUUGUCCUGUCCAGGGCUGGUUGCCGAUUGGUGCUGGGAGACGGAAGGAUGCCUGGAGCGCUUGACACUGCCCCCAUCGUGGCCAUGACUGGCUAUCUCUCUGCUUUGCCAAGGCAGCAGUGGGACCCACUUUGGUUAAUGGAGAGUUGAUUUGGAGCUCUCUUCCCAGUGUGAUUUGAGGCAGCUGCAGAUAUCCCUGAGUCUGUUCUGUUCUGUAAGAUCAGUAGAGAGACUCUUCCUUAAACUUUUAGAAGCCCUAGCAGGUGUCACCCACAGCCUGCCCUUUGUCUUCCCUGCCCCCAGGGACUUCUAUCUGCAGAAGCACCUGCAGGUCUGGGCCGGGCUUUCCCUGCUGACCUGUGUGGGGCUGGAGACACUGUGGAGAGGAUAGUGUCUCCUUUAAUGAGGCCAAACCUUCAGCCCCUGUGCCUGUCAGUACGACCUUAGAAAAUAGGGUCUGACAGAUGACCAACUGGAGAUGAGGUCAUGGGCCAGCCCUAACCCAACAUGGUUUGUGUAGGGGCAGUUUGGACGGAGAUGGACACCUCAGCAAAGGUGGAGGUGAUGCCUCAAUAGGCCAAGGAAUGGCCUUGACUGCUGGCUAGACUUACCUCAGCUUGACACAGAACGUAGUCAUUUGAGAGGAGAGAACCUCCGUUAAGAAAAUGCUUUCUUAAGAUCUGGCUGUGGGUCAGCCUGUAGUGCACUUCCUAUUUAGUGACUGAUUGAUUUGAUAGGGGAGGGCCCAGCCCAUAGUGGGUGGGGCCAUCGCUGAGCUGGUGGUCAUAGGUUCUAUAAGAAAGCAAGCCGAGCAAGCCAGGGGAAAGCAAGUCAGUAAGCAGCACCCUUCCAUGGCCUCUGCAUUAGCUCCUGCCUCCAGGUUCCAGCCCUGGUUUUCUUCAGUGAUGGACUUAUGAUGUGGAAGUGUAAUCAUAACAACCCUUUCUUCCCCAACUUGCUUUUCGGUCAUGGUGUUUCAUGUAGCAAUAGAAACCCUAACUAAGACAACUGCCAAGUUGUUAGAAGCCAGAAGAGAGGCACAGGAAGUAUUGCCAGCCUUAGUCUUGUGGAGUUCCUGCCUCUAGAGCUUUGAACCACUGUGGUACUAGGUUUGUUAGCCCUGGAAACUCACUGUGGUGGGCCCUGGCUGGUUUUAUGUCAACUUGACUUCACAAACUAGAAGGGGAACCUCCCUUGAGAACCUCUCUGUGGGACAGUCUUUUUUUUUUUUUUUUAAGAUCUUACAUAUUUAAUACAGUGUGUUACCCCUGUACAAAUGGAAAAAACUUAAGUUCAACAUUUCUAGACCAAUAUGGCUGUUAAUUUCUGUACAGUGCCAACUCAACACAGUAAACGGGGAUACUUUUUUCCAAAGUUGACAGCACAGCUAAAGUUUCAAAAAAUUCAAAUUAUAUAUCUGUAUAUAUAUAUUUAUAUUUAUAUAAAAAGAGCAAUAAUAGCAGUGUGUUAUGCAUCAACAGCUUUUCCAGGUUCUGCAGUCAUCUGAACAAAACUGUAGAGACAUCCAGCACACUCCAUUAAAAAAAAAAAAAAGUAAAAAAACAAAACCCGAGAAAACAGCACAGUUCUGUUACUCUUGUGGUACCUGGCACCAUUUUUUUUUUAAAUUAGCUUCUCAAUCAUCAUCUGGAAAGAAAACAUUCUGAGCAACAUCAUUAAAACAGCUCUGAUAAAGCACGGUCACUACUACGUAUCAUAAAGCAGGUACAAACUAUUUUACAUCCACAGAGGUAUGAUACAGUACUGUCCUACAUCUAAAAUACUAGAGGAUACAAUUUAAAAGGCAUUAUCUGAGACUUGAUUCUAUUUUUCCAGCAGAGGGCCCAAAGGAUGGUGUGACACAGCUUUGUCAAGAAACAUACUCUAGACAGGAUUUCCUUUCACUAGUGGCACAGUUCUAAGGAUUCAUUCUCUCCAUGAAUGUCAGCUAAAACCGUUAUUAAAAAAAUGAAAUAUCCCUAGAACAAAACCGUAUAACCACCGGAUUCACAUGAAGAUGACCUAGUGGAGACAAGCUGGACCUCACCUUACCAACAAGCUAUCAAAUCUGUUAUGUUUAAACAGUGAGACCUCCAAGGAAGGAGAUGCCUAGUAGUGCUUCAAAGCUUCGGACCACAAUCAAACACAGCAUCCUUUUCAACAGAAGCAGAAGCUCAUCUGAAUAUGCUCAAGGAUGCUGACAUCAACAUUUAAUCAUCUCCUCACUCAUCCAGGAAGAAGGGGAGAUCAGUUACUACUGUACUUUAUUGUGUUCAACCAAAUCACCAUGUUACAAAAAUAGCAAGCUGCCAUAAUAAAAAAUAAGGCUCCUCUAUCCAGCA